rnacentral:rRNA from 1 species
AACGGACGCUGGCGGCAGGCUUAACACAUGCAAGUCGAACGGGUGCAGCAAUGCAUCAGUGGCAGACGGGUGAGUAACACGUGGGAACCUUCCUAGGGGUACGGAACAACUCAGGGAAACUUGAGCUAAUACCGUAUACGUCCGUGAGGAGAAAGAUUUAUCGCCCUUAGACGGGCCCGCGUCGGAUUAGCUAGUUGGCGGGGUAACGGCCUACCAAGGCGACGAUCCGUAGCUGAUCUUAGAGGAUGAUCAGCCACACUGGGACUGAGACACGGCCCAGACUCCUACGGGAGGCAGCAGUGGGGAAUCUUGGACAAUGGGCGCAAGCCUGAUCCAGCCAUGCCGCGUGAGUGAAGAAGGUCUUCGGAUUGUAAAGCUCUUUUGCCAGGGACGAUAAUGACGGUACCUGGAGAAUAAGCCCCGGCAAACUUCGUGCCAGCAGCCGCCGCCG